CUGCGAAUGGCUCAUUAUAUAAGUUAUCGUUUAUUUGAUAGUACCUUACUACUUGGAUAACCGUGGUAAUUCUAGAGCUAAUACAUGCUAAAAAUCCCGACUCCGGAAGGGAUGUAUUUAUUAGAUUAAAAACCAAUGCCCNUCUGGGCUCUCUGGUGAUUCAUGAUAACUUCUCGAAUCGCAUGGCCUUGCGCCGGCGAUGGUUCAUUCAAAUCUCUUCCCUAUCAACUUUCGAUGUUUGGGUAGUGGCCAAACAUGGUUGCAACGGGUAACGGAGGGUUAGGGCUCGACCCCGGAGAAGGAGCCUGAGAAACGGCUACUACAUCCAAGGAAGGCAGCAGGCGCGCAAAUUACCCAAUCCCGAUCCGGGGAGGUAGUGACAAUAAAUACUGAUACAGGGCUCUUUUGGGUCUUGUAAUCGGAAUGAGUACAAUUUAAAUCCCUUAACGAGGAACAAUUGGAGGGCAAGUCUGGUGCCAGCAGCCGCGGUAAUUCCAGCUCCAAUAGCGUAUAUUAAAGUUGUUGUGGUUAAAAAGCUCGUAGUUGAACCUUGGGCCUGGCUGGCCGGUCCGCCUCACCGCGUGCACUGGUCCGGCCGGGCCUUUCCCUCUGUGGAACCCCAUGCCCUUCACUGGGCGUGGCGGGGAAACAGGACUUUUACUUUGAAAAAAUUAGAGUGCUCCAGGCAGGCCUAUGCUCGAAUACAUUAGCAUGGAAUAAUAAAAUAGGACGUGCGGUUCUAUUUUGUUGGUUUCUAGGACCGCCGUAAUGAUUAAUAGGGACAGUCGGGGGCAUCAGUAUUCAAUUGUCAGAGGUGAAAUUCUUGGAUUUAUUGAAGACUAACUACUGCGAAAGCAUUUGCCAAGGAUGUUUUCAUUAAUCAGGAACGAAAGUUAGGGGAUCGAAGACGAUCAGAUACCGUCGUAGUCUUAACCAUAAACUAUGCCGACUAGGGAUCGGACGAUGUUAUUUUNUNGACUCGUUCGGCACCUUACGAGAAAUCAANGUGCUUGG
rnacentral:rRNA from 1 species